AAUCCGUGACCGGUUGUUCCGUUCCUCCCAAUUCCCCAGCGAUCAAAGAUCAGACGUCCUCCUCGCAGAAUCUGAUCUUUUCCAUAAACACCCGUCGCUCCUCCUGCGGCGGGUGUUUUAU
rnacentral:sRNA from 1 species